NNNNNNNNNNNNNNNNCCUGUGCCCUGGACACCACCCGGCCACAGCAGCGCUUGUCCCCUGGAUGCCACCUGGCCACACCAGAGCCUGUGCCCUGGACAAUACCCGGCCACACCAGAGCCUGUCCCCUGGAUGCCACCGUGGCCACACCAGAGCCUGUCCCAUGGAGGCCACCUGGCCACACCAGCACUUGUCCCCUGGACACUGUAUGGCCACAGUAGAGCCUGUGCCCUGGACACCACCUGGCCACACCAGCACCUGUCCCCUGGAUGUCACCCCAGCCACACCAGUGCYUGUCCCAUGGAUGCCACCUGGCCACACCAGCCCUGUCCCCUGGACACUAACUGGCCACACCAGAGCCUGUGGCCUGGACACCACCUGGCCACACCGGAGCCUGUCCCAUGGAUGCCACCAUGGGCACACCAGAGCCUGUGCCCUGGAUACCACCUGGCCACAUCAACACUUGUCCCCUGGACACUACAUGGCCACACUAGAGCCUGUGCCCUGGACGUCACCCGGCCACACCAGCGCCUGUCCCCUGCACACCAACCUGGCCACACCAGUGCCUGAGCCCUGGACACCACCAGGCCACACCAGCCCUGUCCCCUGGGCACCACCUGGUCACACCAGCACCUGUGCCCUGGAUGUCACCUGGCCAUGCCAGUGCCUGUCCCCUGGGCACCAACCCGGUCACACCAGCGCCUGUCCCCUGGACACCACCAGGCCACACCAGCGCCUGUGCCCUGGACACAAACACGGCCACACCAGCACUUGUCCCCUGGAGGCCACCUGGCCACACCAGCACUUGUCCCCUGGACACUGUAUGGCCACAGUAGAGCCUGUCCCCUGGACACCACCUGGUCACACCAGCGCCUGUGCCCGAGACAUCGUCUGGCCACACCAGCCUGUCCCCUGGACACCAACCGGCCACACCAGAGCCUGUCCCCUCAACACCAACAUGGUCACAUCAGCACUUGUCCCCUGGGCACGACCUGGCCACACCAGCCCUGUCCCCGGGAGGCCACCCUGGCCACACCAGCACCUGUCCCAUGGAUGCCACCUGGCCACACCAGC
rnacentral:lncRNA from 1 species